CCUACGGGGUGCAGCAGUGGGGAAUAUUGCACAAUGGGGGAAACCCUGAUGCAGCGACGCCGCGUGAGUGAAGAAGUAUCUCGGUAUGUAAAGCUCUAUCAGCCGGGAAGAAAAUGACGGUACCUGAUUAAGAAGCCCCGUCUAACUACGUGCCAGCAGCCGGGGGAAUACGUAGGGGGCAAGCGUUAUCCGGAUUUACUGGGUGUAAAGGGAGCGUAGACGGCAGCACAAGUCUGGAGUGAAAUGCCGGGGCCUAACCCCGGAACUGCUUUGGAAACUGUGCAGCUAGAGUGCAGGAGAGGUAAGUGGAAUGCGUAGUGUAGCGGUGAAAUGCGUAGAUAUUAGGAGGAACACCAGUGGCGAAGGCGGCUUACCGGACUGUAACUGACGUUGAGGCUCGAAAGCGUGGGGAGCGAACAGGAUUAGAUACCCUAGUAGUC
rnacentral:rRNA from 1 species